rnacentral:snRNA from 1 species
AUACCUUUCUCGGGCUUUGAGUAAGAUCAAGUGUAGUGUCUGUUCUAUCAGUUUAAUAUAUGAUACGUGGGUCGUUGGUCCACAAGAUAUUAACAAGAAUGAUCAGAU